rnacentral:rRNA from 1 species
UGGCGGACGGGUGAGUAAUGUCUGGGAAACGUGCCUGAUGGAGGGGGAUAACUACUGGAAACGGUAGCUAAUACCGCAUAACGUCGCAAGACCAAAGAGGGGGACCUUCGGGCCUCUUGCCAUCGGAUGUGCCCAGAUGGGAUUAGCUAGUAGGUGGGGUAAAGGCUCACCUAGGCGACGAUCCCUAGCUGGUCUGAGAGGAUGACCAGCCACACUGGAACUGAGACACGGUCCAG